UCUCUCCUCAUGCGUGAGGAGAAAAAUCCUGCUCGCUCCCACACGAGGAGAAGUGGCUUUUUGGCAGUGGGUAGGGGAACCAGUUGGUAUCAUAUUGCUACACAUGAUUGUGGAAGGUCCCUGUCCUGUGAUUGGCCAUCAGAAGAGGAAGAACAAUGUUCCAAGGUUAUUGGAACGCAGCACAAGCAGUGAUAGUGGGAAAGCCAGAAUAGCUUCAUGAAACACCAUCAGGAGACACAGUUACAAAACGCUGCCAGGCGGGUGGUUGCCUUUUUACAGAGUGCCCUGGCUAAUGAAGCUGAACCAUCUUCGCAACACCAAUUACUACUCAUUUUGGCACCGUGGGUAGAUGCCAAGUCCUGCUGGAAAAGGACACCAGUGUCGCCAUGACGUUUGUCAACAGAUAGAAGUAUAAGUCUCUGCCUCCCCACCCAUCCAAACAUAGAUCAUGACACAAGACAAGGGGGGGACGGGUCACCGAGGCUUUGCUGCCCACUCACAGGCGCUGCCCUUGCUAGACGAGAAACGAGGCCACAUUAGAGACUGGACGCAGGCUUGUUGACACACAUUGCUGACGGGGAAGUUGGGCUAAUUUCCUGUGUGUGUGCCCUUGUUGCUUCGAUGUUGGAAGCUGUGCCUUGUGCUGUUUGGUCUUUUGCAUAUGAAGGAUGUUCAGUAACAACCUCCUCACUGACAAACUCCUUCUGAAAUCAGUCUAAGCCGCAAUCCACCAUUGGUCACCUGUCUGUCUGCCCUCUGAACUUGCCUGCUUCACUGGAAGUGCUCUCACGGAUCAAUUACCGAUAGCUUGCCACCAGACACGUCAACCUGCUGGUCUCAACCUAUUUUUUAAGGACUCUGGAUUCUUGUUUUGUUCUGCUGGCAGCCAGAUCUGACGUUGUCCUCACAGCUUCAAGCAAACCCUGUCCACCCUCCACCAUAACUCUCAGGACUCACCUGCUACGGCAGUGUUGCAUAGCCCGCCGCUCACCAGGAUCACAACCUCUCUCCCUGGCAGACUUAACCCUACCCAUUUCUCUCUGCUACUUCUGUUUCAUGCACCUAAGCCUGAAAAUAAAGUUUUCUUAAACGUUUCUCUGUUUAAUCGUGUUUUUCUGCAUGUGGGUCAAGUUGGCCUUAAACAAUAUGACAUUUUCUGUGGAACUUCUAAAGAUGGCCAUGGAUUUCUGGCCAACCAAUCCAGCAUAUCCGCCAUUUUUUCUCUCUCACAGUAUUCUUGUAGUUCAAGUUGAAGGAUGUCGAAGGAGCCAGCGGAAAAAUCUAAACGUCCUGUUGUCGGGUGUUAACCCACACCAGUCAUUACACCGUCCCCAAGGACCAGAACCUCUUCAGAGUGCCUGGUUAAAUUUUAUUCUUCAUGGAAACGUGCCGACAUCAGUGGGGAAAGUCAUCUUCGUUUGCGUGAAGUACUUCAAGGAGGAGUGUUUCAGCAACCUCGGCCAGUAUAAAGGAGGAUUAGCUGAAAUACUCUGUCUGUCUGAGGGGUCAGUUCCUUCUGUCUGUGGAAAGAGCAAAGAGGUAAGCUGCAGAAACAGCAAAAUGACAGCAAGCUUGAUAGUUCAGGUGUUGAUAUAACUUACUGGCUGUUGUUUUGAUAGCACGGCUUCGUGCCUCCUGCUAAUGUUAGCGCUCUGUGCUUGCUUUUAGCUCCUUAAUGACAUCACCUAAUUGUGUGUUUUGAAAAACAACAUUAAACCAUACAUUUUGCAAUCCGUUUGGUUGCCCUUUUAGC